UACGAAGGGGGCUAGCGUUGCUCGGAAUCACUGGGCGUAAAGGGUGCGUAGGCGGGUCUUUAAGUCAGGGGUGAAAUCCUGGAGCUCAACUCCAGAACUGCCUUUGAUACUGAGGAUCUUGAGUUCGGGAGAGGUGAGUGGAACUGCGAGUGUAGAGGUGAAAUUCGUAGAUAUUCGCAAGAACACCAGUGGCGAAGGCGGCUCACUGGCCCGGUACUGGCGCUGAGGCACGAAAGCGUGGGGAGCAAACAGG
rnacentral:rRNA from 1 species